rnacentral:rRNA from 1 species
GCAUAUCAAUAAGCGGAGGAAAAGAAACCAACAGGGAUUGCCUCAGUAACGGCGAGUGAAGCGGCAACAGCUCAAAUUUGAAAUCUGGCUCUUUCAGGGUCCGAGUUGUAAUUUGUAGAGGAUGUUUCGGGUGUGGCUCCGGUCUAAGUUCCUUGGAACAGGACGUCAUAGAGGGUGAGAAUCCCGUAUGUGACUGGUAGCCUAUGCUCAUGUGAAACUCCUUCGACGAGUCGAGUUGUUUGGGAAUGCAGCUCAAAAUGGGUGGUAAAUUUCAUCUAAAGCUAAAUAUUGGCCAGAGACCGAUAGCGCACAAGUAGAGUGAUCGAAAGAUGAAAAGCACUUUGGAAAGAGAGUUAAACAGUACGUGAAAUUGUUGAAAGGGAAGCGCUUGCAACCAGACUUGCAUGUAGCUGAUCAUCCGGUGUUCUCACCGGUGCACUCAGUUGCGUUCAGGCCAGCAUCGGUUUCGACGGUUGGAUAAAGGCCUUGGGAAUGUAGCUUCUUUCGGGGAGUGUUAUAGCCCAGGGUGCAAUGCAGCCUGUUGGGACCGAGGACCGCGCUUCGGCUAGGAUGCUGGCGUAAUGGUUGUAAGCGACCCGUCUUGAAACACGGACCAAGGAGUCUAACAUCUAUGCGAGUGUUUGGGUGUCAAACCCAUACGCGUAAUGAAAGUGAACGGAGGUGAGAACCCUUAAGGGUGCAUCAUCGACCGAUCCUGAUGUCUUCGGAUGGAUUUGAGUAAGAGCAUAGCUGUUGGGACCCGAAAGAUGGUGAACUAUGCCUGAAUAGGGUGAAGCCAGAGGAAACUCUGGUGGAGGCUCGCAGCGGUUCUGACGUGCAAAUCGAUCGUCAAAUUUGGGUAUAGGGGCGAAAGACUAAUCGAACCAUCUAGUAGCUGGUUCCUGCCGAAGUU